rnacentral:rRNA from 1 species
GAGUUUGAUCCUGGCUCAGAUUGAACGCUGGCGGCAUGCCUUACACAUGCAAGUCGAACGGCAGCACGGGAGCUUGCUCCUGGUGGCGAGUGGCGAACGGGUGAGUAAUGCAUCGGAACGUAUCCUGGAGUGGGGGAUAACGUAGCGAAAGUUACGCUAAUACCGCAUAUUCUGUGAGCAGGAAAGCGGGGGACCUUCGGGCCUCGCGCUCUUGGAGCGGCCGAUGUCGGAUUAGCUAGUUGGUGAGGUAAAGGCUCACCAAGGCGACGAUCCGUAGCAGGUCUGAGAGGAUGAUCUGCCACACUGGAACUGAGACACGGUCCAGACUCCUACGGGAGGCAGCAGUGGGAAUUUGGACAAUGGGGGCAACCCUGAUCCAACCAUGCCGCGUGAGUGAAGAA